UAUCAUCUGAUGAGAAAAUACUGCAACAACAUGAUCCAUUCCCUUGGUGAUUAUAUUUAAGUCUCUGAUGAUA